rnacentral:lncRNA from 1 species
AAUAAGAAUUCCACACAAAUUCUGACUAAUUUACCCUCUUUCCUCAUUUGGUCAAAUGGAAGUGGUGGGGUUUCAUAGCUACAAAAGUUCUGUUUAUUUCCUGAGGUUUGUAUUUUGUUAGAUACAUUUAGAUACAUUACUCUUUAUGUUCAAAGUAUGAAGAGCAAAACUGUAAUAAUAGUUAGUGAAAACAUUUAAUUAGUUAUAGUCUCUUUAUACAGUUUAGAGUGUUGGUGUUGGGUUCAUAAGAAUCUAAGCUGGGCCAUACCCAGUUGACUUUGCUUUUUUAAAUAAAAGCAAUUAUGGACUUAUUUUUUAAUUUUAUUGAAGUACAGUUGAUUUACGAUGUGUUAAUUUCUUCUGUACAAAAGUGACUCAUUUAUAUAUAUAUGUAUAUAUUAUUUUUCAUAUUCUUUUCCAUUGGUUAAUCAUGGGAUAUUGAAUAUAGUUCUCUGUGCUAUACAGUAAGACCUUGUUGCUAUCCAUCCUGUGUAUACUAGUUUGCAUCUGCUAAAUUCCAAAUUCUCAAUCCCUCCCGGCUCUACCCCUCCCCUUUGGCAACCACAAUUCUGUUCUCUAUGUCUGUGAGUCUCUUUAUGUUUCAAAGAUAUGUUCAUUUGUGUCAUAGUUUAGAUUCACAUAUAAGUGAUAAUAUGAUGGUAUUUGUCUUUUUCUGACUUACUUCACUUAUAUGGGAGUCUCUAGGUUCAUCCAUGUUGCUGCAAAGGACAUUAUUUCAGUCUUUUAUGGAUGAGUAAUCCUCUGUUAUACAUAUAUAUACACCAUAUCUUCUUAAUCCACUUACCUGUCACAGGGCAUUUAGUUGUUCCCAUGUCUUAGCUGUUGUGAAUACUGUUACUGUGAACAUAGGGGUGCAUUUGUCUUUUCAAAUUAUAGUUACCACACCACUUGACUUUGGAACACUAAUAAAGUAUACAUGCACUUAUUAAAACAGUAUCAUUUCAUAGCCUGGCCAUCUCUCCACGGGUACCAGAGCCAGUGAAAACUAAAGCCCCAAACAGUGAUGUUUGCAAUGGCUGACUUUUCCUUCCUCAUCUAUUAAGAGAUGUCUUGCAUUGCCUAAGUCAGUCCUCGUCUGUAAUUGCUUGUUUUGACCACGAACAUGAACAUCGGGUGAUUAAUGAUCUCAAUAUCCAUGUGUUCUCUGUCAAAUUGAAUUUAGCAUAUUUACUACAGGUGGUCACUGGGGCCUUUGUAUACACAGAAAGAAAGCAAAUGAAUAAUUAAAAACAGAAAAGCUACCUGGGGGUCACUUUUCACUUAAUUUCUUUGGGGUCAGCCCACAUCUUUUCAUUCAGAACUCCACUUCAGCAACUCUUGGGGCUAUAAUGCUCAGAAACUGGAAGAAGGAAAGAGUGAGAAGACAGAUUUUAAACAUGAUAAAACCUGCAGGGGGAAAAUUGUGGGGUAGGGUGGGGUUGGGGAUGCAGUCUGAAAAAGGCAUCCUCCACACUUCUUUCUUUCAAAAUAUAAACUUCAAGGUGGGUAUUUUUUGGCUGUCGGAGGAAUGUAGAAGAUGGAGUAAAAAAGCAGGUAAAAAGCGUGAAUCCAAAAGAGGUUGUGAAAUGCCUCUCUCUGCAGAUGGCCCAUCUGCCCACUGUACUGGGGUGGAUGAUACAACAACUGUGAAAACCUCCAGGGCAGAGCUGGCUGCAAGAGAGAACUCCAUCAAGAUACGUUGAAUGUAUGCACAGAAAUGAGAUCAUCUUAGAAGCAGGCCAGGCUUACAGCUAGGAGCAGCAAACCACAGCUUCCACGGUUUAAAAAUUCUCCUCUUGUUUUUGAAGAAGCUGCUUUUGUAUUUGUUUACUAGAAUAAAAAUAAUGGUAUCAGGAUUUCCGUUGUGGCUCAGCAGGUUAAGGACCCAAUAUUGUCUCUGUAAGGAUGUGGGUUCAAUCCCUUCCCUAGCUCGGUGGGUUGGGGAUCCACUGCUGCCGUGGCUGUGGUGUAGGCCAGAGCUGCAGAUCCAGUUUAACCCCUAUCCUGGGAAGAUCUAUAUGGUGCAGGUGUGCCUGUAAAAAGAGAGAGGAAAAAAAAUAAUAAUGGUCUUGACCAUCCCAGUUUUUCACUUUUUCCCCAAAGCAACCAAUUCCUGGGUACAGUUUCAGACCCCAUUUUCAAAGAGUACUUAAGGGCAAAGGGCAUUUAUUUUUGCCACACAGAUUCUGACUUUCACAAAUGAUACAUGAGGAUUAGUGAAUGGUGUUCACUGUAGCAUUAAACUGCUUUUUUUUUUAAUGUGGCCAGAUACCAUUUUAAUCUAAAUCUGCAGAAGCUGUUCACGAGAGAAUUACCCUGUGAGGUUACAGUUGGAUUGGUUCUACUCAAUAAAGUGACAUAAAAUAGGAGCCAAAGUAUUCUACUGAAUUUCUAAGAGGCAGUCUUCCUCAUUUUCUUAUUUAUUAAAGUGACAAAAGCUUUAACAUUAAGUGGCGAGAAGAGAAUAUAAAACCUGGAAUUUAGAUGUUUUAACUUAAAAUUUAGUGUUAUUAGCAUCAGAUUGCACUGAUUUCUUUUAAUCCAAAACUUUGUACCAAAAAGAUAUACUUUUUCAGUAAUAAUUUUUAUAAAUUAUUAUUUUAACACCCUCUUCCACCACUGCAAGAAAGUAUGUUAUGUGCUAAUUCUAGCUGUUUCCAGCACCUCCUAAAAACGUGUGGUCCACAUAUGAUUAGUUUUCAUUUUAGUUCUGCUUCUUGUCUUUUAGUUAAUGUGAGAGCAGAGUUUUUAAGAGUAUGUGAUGUGGUAUCAGUUAGAAUUGACAUCCACUCCCACCUCCAUCAGUUAUUCAUUGGCUGUGAAAAUGUCUAGUUGAACUUUAUAAGCUCCAUGCUCUUAUACAUAAAGAAGGAUUGGUAAUAUCUGCAAUUCAGUUAAUAUAUUACUAAGCACUUAGUGCUUCUGAGAGAUUCAGAAAACACCUGUGUAUAUCAUAGGUGUUCAUCACUUAUGUUAAAAUGUAUAUUUCAGGAGUUCCCAUCAUGGCUUAGUAGAAACAAGUCUGACUAGUAUCCAUGAGGACACAGGUUUGAUCCCUGGCCUUGCUCAGUGGGUUAAGGAUCCGGUGUUGCCAUGAGCUGUGGUAUAGGUUGCAGACAUGGCUCAAAUCCGGCAUUGCUGUGGCUGUGGUGUAGGCUAGGGCUACAGCUCCGGUUUGACCCCUAGCCUGACAACCUCCAUAUGCCAUGGGUGCACCCUUCAAAAAAAAAAAGUAUUUCAGGCUUUUUCAUUCAAUGUGUUUGUUUGGAGAUGGGUUUCAGACAGAUAUUUUCUCUCCUCACAAAAUGACAUAGGCAUAAUAGCCUAUAUUAUUUAUUUAUUUAUUCAUUAUGUUUUAUUGAAUAUAGUUGAUUUACAAGUUUGUGAUAAUUCCUGCUAUACAACAAAGUGUUUCAGUUAUACAUGUACACACAUCCAUUCACUUUCAGAUUCUUUCCCACAUAAAUUUUCACAGAAUAUUGAGUAGAGUUCCCUGUGCUAUACCAGUAUACCAACCCCAAACACCCAGUCCCCCACUGCCACCUGUCCCCUUUGGCAACCAUAAGUUUUUCAAAGUCUGUGAGUCUGUUUCUGUUUUGCACUUAAGUACAUUUGUAACCUUUUGUUUUUUUCUCUUUAAGAUUCCAUUUGAUUUAUAAGAGUUGAUUUAGAAAAUAAGAGCAAGUAGCAAUAGAAGCAUAUUUGCAAAAAGUUGGAUUUGGUCAAACCCAAGGUAGAUAGCUAGUAAAUAAUAUAUUGGGUAAGUAAUAUACCAAGAUUUGAUUGAAAUAAAACCCAAAUUUGUUGAAAUAACCAUUGUGUACCAUCUCUUUGCAAAGAAUCCAAUUAUUGAACACAUUUCUCUGUACUAUUCAUGAGUUAUUCAGGGAAACUGAUGGCUUAGGGAAUGUGUGUAAUAUUCUGAAUUUAUAGUCUGGAAGAGACUGAUAAUCUCCUAUAAUUAGUGUGCUGUAGUAUUUCUCAGAAAGAGAUCCUUGGAUAGAAUGAACUAUAGUCUAAAUCAGAACAAUACUUCAGAAGUUUUACAUCUGUGAUGGGAAAGUGAGUAAAACUUAUUUAUUCCUUUUUGCAAAUUGACAAUUCUUGGCUAGUUUAGUGAUUAUACGAGAGCUGCAUGAUAGAUACGCUCUUAUGCUAUGGAGAUUAUUAGGCAUAUCUAUGCGGAGAAUUAGAAUAUAAAUACAGUUGGUUACUAACCAUGGUAACAUGAGAAAAUGUUGCACUGGUGAUAAUAAAAGUGUGGAUUCAUAGUUUUCCAAAUGCAUACUUGGAAAAUGAUAAAUAUGUUAUGAAGAGUUUGUGUUGAUAUAGAGUCCAAAUUUAAUGUAAAACAAUAAAAAUAUUUAAAUUUUAAAAAGAAAUAAGCAUCUAAAUUAUCAUAAAAAAGAGAAUAAAAGAAAGUUAUUCCAGUUUAAAAUAGCUGGAGUUGCUGUUGUGGCUCAGAAGUAAAGAACCCAACUAGUAUCCAUGAGGACAUGGGGUCAAUCGCUGGCCUCACUCAAUGGGGGGAUCCGGCAUUGCUGCAAGCUGCAGUGUAGGUCGCAGAUGCGGCUUGGAGCCUGUGUUGCUGUGGCCGUGGCAUAGGCCAGCGGCCAUGCAAUUCAACCCCUGGCCUGGGAACCUACAGAUGAUGUGGGUGUGGCCCUAAAAAGAAAAAAAAAAAGCCAAGCACACUUAUUAAAAUCCAGUUAGUGACUAAAAGCAAUGUGAUCAUUUUUUUACAGGGACACUUAAAAAAAAAGCUAUUUUGGAGGAAACAUAAAAUGCAGAGGAGAUUAUUUGUUUACUGAAAAUAGAAACUUUUAAAAUUUAAUAUUUUUUUUCAAAAUCCAACUUUGAAAUAUAUACUCUAAAAUAGUUAAAUAGCUUAUGGAACUUCUUAAAAAGUACAAUAUAAAGUGCUUGGCACAUGAGCUCCAUGAAACAUUGAACGUAUACAUGUUUUUCAGUGAUAUUAAGGAAUGGAUAGUAUACUACAGACCAGGGGCUAAAGCUGACUUCUCUGUCAAUAAGUGAUACCAAAGGCUGGUAUUGUUAACACUAAUGCUGCAGAAAUACUGGAGGGAAAAGUAUCUCUUUAAAGAGCAGUUCCAAACAAUGAAACUGCUCCUACAAAUAUAUAGAAACAGCUCAAGUGUAUAUGUCUAUGUGGGUAUAACCUAACACAGAAUAAAGUUAAAUCAAAAAUGUAUUUCAUUGCAGAUGUAGAGAACAGUCUUGUGGUUUGCCAAGGGGGAGAGGGGAGGAAGUGGGGUGGAUGAGGAGUUUAGGGUUAAUAGAUAUACUAUUAUAUUUAGAAUAGGUAAGCAAUGAAGUCCUACUAUACAGCACAGGGAACUAUAUCCAGUCUCUUGGGAUAGACCAUAAUGGAAGAUAAAUAUAAGAAAGAGAAUGAUGGCUCAGCGGGUUGAGAACUAGAUCUUGUAUCCUUGAGGAUGUGGGUUUAAGCGCUGGCCUCAUUCAGUGGGUUAAGAAUCCAGUGUUGCCACAAGCUACAGCAUAGGUCGGAGAUGGGGCUCAGAUCCUGCAUUGCUGUGGCUGUGGCAUAGGCCUGCAGCUGCAGCUCCAAUUCGACCCCUA